UAAUAUUAAAUCCUUAAUACAAGUCUGUCUCUUCCCAUCUAUCAGGCCAGGUCUACCUUCGAAAGAAUUUGCUGAUAUAACUAUACCAGUAAACCCCACCAGUAGAGAGACAGAUAGUAUCAGCAAAAGAGUUCUUUGGUAUAGAUUGUACCAGUUUCCUAAAUGAAAUAAGCUAUACUAGCAAAAGGACUUUUUUGAUCAUGUAACUGCAUCAACACUAGGAAGGCGUUUUGCUGGUAUAAAUGUGUAAAGAUUAACUCCCCUGACAUUAUAUCAUCAACAGUUUCUAGUAUAGACCUGGCCUGGGGCAAAUGCUUAACCUGAACUCAUCACACACAAACUGUUGGAAAACAAUAGAAUGCAGGAAACACUGGCUUCUCUGCUUUAGGAAGCAUAGUCAGGACAGAAGGAAUUAAAAUUCCACCUGUCUGCAAGAAGGGAAUGUUCAUUUUACAGUGUUGUUCAAUGGAACGUUCCUUACCGGCCAAGGAAUCUGUUCCAUGACAAGUACAAGGCUCCAGAACUGUCAUAAAGUGUGAUCUAUUAUUUAGAGACUGGAGACCAGGACUUUGAGGUUCUAGGUAGACUUUGAUUACUGUGUCGGUUAGAAGUAACAGCAUCUCUCUGCCUUAGUCCAGGUCUCACUACAAAUGUUUGUCAGCAUAGCUGUGUGGUCAGGAUGUGGAAAAAACUCACCCUGUAGCCGACAUAGCUAUGCUAGCAAAACGCCCAGUGUAGUUGUAGUCAUGCCAACAGCAGAGUGCUGCUUUUGGCAUAGUCAUUUGGGGAGGUGCUAUUACUAUACUGACAGGUAAAACACCAUCUGUCUACGUUAGGUGGGUCUGCAAUAGGGAGCUCUGCUGGUACAAGUAUACCAAUAGAGCUAUACUGGCAAAGCAUUUGUAGUAUGGCUGUGGCUUUAGCUUAUCCAUCUUAUAAAUAGGUGGUCUACUAUUUUCCUUCCUCUGAGAGGUGUUGGGAGGCUUAUUCUUCAGAAAUGGCCACAUUCUGAUCACUUUGCUUUCGCUGAAUGCUACUUUAUAAGUGGUUCUGCAGGAAGUAAUUGGGAAUCUUACGGUGCAAAGUGCUAUUCAUUGUGAGUAAGUGUAUCAGAAUCUGGCACAAAGUUCUGUGAAAGCUGGGAGUGAAACAUGCUUUUCGCUAUUACAACUCAUGAUUGAUCCUAGAGUAAAACAGAACUAAUAAUAUUCACAAAUCAGGAGCCUAGAUUACAACUAGGGAAGGACAGAACCAAACUAACUGCUCCCCAGCAGUUUUCUCAGUAUAUUCUUAAACCCUGUUC